rnacentral:rRNA from 1 species
UCCGACCUACGGGGGGCAGCAGUAGGGAAUCUUCCACAAUGGACGAAAGUCUGAUGGAGCAACGCCGCGUGAGUGAAGAAGGGCUUCGGCUCGUAAAGCUCUGUUGGGAGUGAAGAAAGAUAGAGGUAGUAACUGGCCUUUAUUUGACGGUAAUUACUUAGAAAGUCACGGCUAACUACGUGCCAGCAGCCGCGGUAAUACGUAGGUGGCAAGCGUUGUCCGGGUUUAUUGGGCGUAAAGCGAG